UAGGGGGAGCAGGGUCACCACCAGGGGGGCUGUUGGGACUACAGUCCCGGACUCGGACAGAAAAGGGGCUCACCAAGCAGGCAGCUCACACUGCUUACCAGCUGGGACUGAUCUAUUAUACUGGUCUGGUUGCAGCACUCUCAGGCAGUGGCGUUACAAAGGGUGCCCACAUGAGAGCCCCACCAACAAACUUCUGCACAAGGGGUACAUCCGCCUGUGCCAAAUAGCCAUGGGUGGGGUGAAGAAACAGCACCUGACAUCUAACUGUUUGCAGAGGCUUCUUGACGCUACAUCUUCCCUGCAGCAGCUAUACCCAGCUCCUAGCACUGGCAGCAGAGGGACGUAGCAAUGAUGCCUAGUUCACAGAGGAGCCCUAGCUGAGAGGAGAGAGAAGGCAGAUGGACUUAAGAAGCAUUUAGUGGAGUGGGCUCUUCAUGUUUCUUUGCCUACAGAUAUCAGGGUCCCCAGAGAUGUCAGGAACUUUACACACUGAGGAAGCCGCUGACAACUAUUAUAUGCGGGGAAACACGUCUGUGGAGGUCGAUAUAAGAGUUUACCCUCUGUCACGUGUGCUACGAGCCAGCCGGCCGGCCAAUUUUCCCUGCUGCCAACAUCUAAGAAUCGGGGAAGAGAAGGCUGUUUUGCACGUGGACCCCAGUGCUAAGGGGGAAUGAGAAGUGCGUUCCAGUACCAUUGUGCCUAUGUAACACACUAACAACAGGGGCUCCUACUGUAUUGAACUUGCUGUACAUUGCAGGGAUGCCUGCACUGUUUUUUUAAAAUAAGCUGACAGUUGUACAAUACAUAGAGUCAGAGGAGCGUAUCAUAAGCCUUAACCAGAGACUAAUAAGCUUAUUAACCCCUGCAUGUCUAUAUAUAUAUAUAUAUAUAUAUAUAUACGGCUGAAUCUUUAUACUAAUAUGCAUGCAAUAUACACCAAGGGUGUUUGUUAUUAAUGCUGAAAUUAAGGGGUGUUUUACUGAAUACAUAUGCAUAUGAAAUUUUUAGGUCCGUUGUGAACUAACUAGUAUUGUGUGUUAUGUUUUAAUGGUUUGUGAUACCGUCCGGUGUCUUAGCUUUUUAAUAUAUAUUGUAUUGUGCAAUAAAUGUCCAUACUUGGA